rnacentral:sRNA from 1 species
ACGAGACAAGUGACCACACGGCGGAGUGUGACCGAUAAACUGGUCGUGGACGACGUCGAGCGCAGCUCUCGGCCCGUCCGCCAAUGAUCAGCCAGCAGCCGCUGCAACCACAGGGAG